GAUCUUGCAGAAGAAAUAUCUGUAAUGAUAACCAAAACAUUUCCAAACAAAGCUAAAGAAACCUACUAUAUUCUAUUAAUUAAAAAGAAAAAUUCUGAAAAAAACAAAUCGAUUCCCUCUCGAGGGAAAUUAAUGACAAUGUGGAGGAAUAGACAGCAUAAACAUAAAAUAUUUAAUAAAAAAAUUUUGCAAGGAACAUCACAAUCUGAGAAUGUUGGUUGUACAAAUGACAAUGACAUUGAAAAUAAUGUAUUCGAAGAAAGCGUACAUUGACAACAUAAUCAAGCUCCAUGGGAGCUAGUCUUGCAACAUUGGGAAGUGUGUUACACUUUACGUUCUAAAGAUUUGAAACAAUUGCAAGAUAAAAACCUAUGGAAUAUAUUUGACAAAUGGCAGCUUUAUAAGCAUCCUCAAGGUCACGAAUUAAUAGCUCUUGACUUUGGAAAAAUUAAUGGUUCAACAAUUAAGCUCAAUUACAAUAUAUGGUUACAAUUUUUUUUAUUGUAAAGCAACACACAAGUAUAAAUGAAAAAAUGAUGAUGUUAAGUUUAUGUUACAACAAAUGGAAAAUGUAGAAAUAAAUGAAGACAGUAAAGCUGCAAUCAUUUUACAAUUAUUGCUGUACUUUAUUCCUCCGAAAAAAGUGUUUGUGUCCGGUAAAUACAGCUAUAAAGCCUCUAUUGCAGCAUGUAAAAAUAGUAUGAUAAAACAUGUUAAUAUACUGAGCCGUAUUAGAUAUGAAAUGAAAAAACGUGCCGAAAUACUGAAAACUACUGUUCAGCCGUAUAUUAUAACUGUAGGCGACUACAAAACUAGUCUGGAGACUUAUGUUUGUGUGGACGAAACAUUAUAUAAAGUCGCUAAUACGAUUACGGCUAUAGACAUCUGUUUCAAGACUUUUCAUUUAAUUUAAAAUAUCCAUAAGAUAGCGAACAUCUAUGGAUAAUACAGAAGGGUGUUUAUCGUCUCACCACGAAAUGGGACACACAAAUAUCUUUUAUUGUAUAUGGCUUAAAACAACUGGAAGAUACAAAUACAUUACAAGAAGAAGCUGCUUGUACAGACGUGUGAUGGGCGCCCUAUUUGAAGGAGCGCGUAACCGGACAUGGACAAAAGCGUUGGCGUGGCAGUUGAAAAAACUGACAACUGCUUUAGUGGGAGCGGAUUGGAGGUCCCAGUUUGUGCGGGCACACCACGAGCCCGGGGAGGCCUCAAGACUAGUUCGCCUAGCCACGCUGGCGAUUAAAUCCUGGAUAUGAAACGGCGAAGCAUUCCUUGACGAUGAAGAGAAGAGGACGGAGUCCUCGGCUGGCGCCGAAGUGGAGCGGUCCCGUAAGGUACAACACAAAGGAAACUUCGUAUUAGGAUUAUAUACCGCCCGAAUGGGCGCGCAACUUUGCACCAAACGGGUCUGCCCAUUCUGCGUCUACUCUGAAGUCGCGGAGGAGCAGUGCCACCCUAUCAACCUAGACAAAUCCAACGAAAGCACACGUUGGCGGGAUAUGAAUCUCCGCGAACUACAUCGCUAUGUGCGACAUGUAAGGGUCGGGAGAAGGUCAGGCGGAGGCCAUGGCUGAAAUCCACAACCGUGAGAUGCACGCAAAAAACGGGAACAUUAUAGGAAAGGUCAUGUUACAGGAAGCCCGUAAACGUGAAGAUGCCAUCUUGCGUGAUUGUAAUGAGGCGUGGGACUUGCCCGGGAUAUGGGCUAUUACAAAAGAGUCGGCAGAGGAGGUGCUCAACAAAGCGGAAAAAUACCUAGAACACGCUUCAUUUUGUGACGCCAACCACGGAUUACAUGCUACAUACGUAGCGGCGGGUACCCUCCACGAGCAUGCAGGCCUCAGACUUAUACAGUUCCUGGAACUAAGGAACGCAGUGACCCAAAGCGCAAGCGCUGCCAGGUGAAGCCACGCAGUGGGGGACGUGGAUACAAAUUAUCUCACUUCCUCCCUGAGAGGGGGGAAGAAAUACGGAAAUGACGGGUGCAUUAAGUCCAGCACUCUAAGGCGGGGUAACCAACCUCUGCAGGAUAAGCCACCGCCCCAGGAGAAAGGUGGGGCCCCGAAGACGUCAUCUACCCCAUCGAACGGCAAUAGUGGCACUGUCGAUGGGAACACAGUAGCCCGAAGUGACAAUUCUGGAAGCCUCAGCAGUGAGGAGGACAUUGGAAGGGACUGGUUUGCUAUUGGGUAUGACCGUAACAAGCACCAUGGGAAAAUGAUCCCCACCGACAGUAUAUCCCGAGCUGCUAAGGAUCCCGAGGAUAGAAGUGGGGUUAUAUAGAUGAACAAGUCCCGUACCAUAUACAACUUUGUGUUUGGCGGGGUCGCCACGGCGGACUGGCGUGAACUCGGGAUACGUGUCUCUCUCUACGAUGACCUUAGAGAGAAAAGGUUCACGCAACCCACAGGGGUCGACUGGGCCGUGGCGAAGAAAGACGAAUCACACCUUGAAUAUGUCUCCACCCAGGGGGAUGCUUCCGCGCUGCCUGUGUUAGUUGGCGUUACCUCGAUGUGUAUAUGCGGAACGUCCAGAGAGUAAGAGUGGAGGCGGAUAUGGACGAAGUGUGGGACCUCCACUCAGACGAGGUGGUUACAAUAGUCCUGGGGGAUGAAUCACCGCAAGCCGGGUGCGGGCGGGAUAUCUGGAUACUUUCCCAUCUCGACUACCUCGUGUACGAAAAAAAUUUCCAUUGCAAAUUAUAUAGAAAGUUCACAUAUUAGAUAACAUAUUCUUCAAAACAAUAUUCGUAAACUGCAUUUAUGCGUAGAACAUACUUUUCUAAAAAACUCUUUCUUUGAUUCACCCAGUACACAAGCGGUUUGAAGAAUUCAUUAGAAAAGCAGCGAAAGCCUAUUUCGGAGAGAAUGCGAAUAUCGGCAACGUGGCAUUCACAUUUACGUAACGUCUAGUGUAAGAAAAUUUAAAUGACAACAUAGCACACAUACUUGCAUAACAUCUGUGAAGGAACGAUAUAUGAAAAAAUACUGCGGCGCAACGGUAGCACGAACAUGUUCACGCUUAUCAAAUGUGACAUUUUGACGAUCGUCUUCGUUCCGUAUAGAUAUAUAAGUAGGUAUAGUACAGAGAUUCUAACCCAGGUACUCUGAGGAGGGUGCGGGGCGAGAGGAACUGCGGGAGCGAGGGCUGAUGUCACGCGGGAGAGAGGACUUACCGACGUUACCGACAUUUUUUUUACCGGCAUAUUACCUGUAUUUUUACCCACAUAUUUAUUUUUUUACCAACAUAUUUAUUUUUUUUACCAACAUA